AGGUGUGUGCCCGUCGGAUGAGACAUUGCUGAGAGGUUGAGUAGGAUACUUGGAGAAAGGGCUUGGGAGGAAACUGACAGAUGUUGAGGGAAUGGAAAUUUGUACCAUUCACAGCAUUUUUUUCUAGAUCUGGAAACACAAAAGCUUACUUGUACACGGUCUUUCUGUUAUUUAUUUAUUCCCCCCCCCUUUUUAUUCCUGGUAAUGGUGAUUCCCAUUGUUCACAGAGCAGUGGUCAAAAGUGAGGGCACCUGGGUGGCUCAGUUGGUUGAGCGUCCGACUUUGGCUGAGGUCAUGAUCUCACAGUUUGUGAGUUCAAGCCCCAUGUCAGGCUCUGUGCUGACAGCUCGGAGCCUGGAGUCUGCUUCGGAUUCUGUGUCUCCCUCUCUCUCUCUCUCUGUUCCUCCCCCACUCACACUCUGUCUCUCUCUCCCUCGAAAAUAAAGAUUAAAAAAAUAGACCCACACUUGGAGUUAUUUAAAAAAAAAGUGGGGGGGAGUCCAAUAUAGCUGGGGUAUAUUGUCAAAACCCUUUUUGGAAACCCAUUUGGCAGUGUGCGAAGACCAUAAACAUUUUUCGUAACCCUUGAGCAAAUGAUUUUACUCCUGGGAAUCCAUCUCAGUACCAACAACAGCAACAACUGCUCAGAGGUGUUCUUUACUUUUUUUUUUAAUUUUAAUUUUUUAAAAUUUUUAUUCAUUUAAGGAAUUUCCACACCCCGCAUGGGGUUCGAACUCACAAGCCCGAGAUCCAGAGUCACAUGCCCCACCGGGCUGAGCCAACCAGGUGCCCCUCCAGGAUGUUCUUUAAACUAUUGUUUACAGUACUUAGAAUCUUAAUGUAAACCUAAGAAUAUGGGACAUGGAACUAUCAAAUGUUUUCUUGAUGUUGGUUGGCAAAUGAUGUCAUAACAUCGGGAUAGGAUGUGUACUCCUGAUGAUUACAGAUACGUGGGCAAGAUAUGCUCAGUCAUCAUAAUGGAUAACAUUUACUGUCUCCUUAAUACAUGACAGGCGAUGUGUCAGAUCCUUUGUAAUCACUGCCUCCUUGGGCGUGCUCGCCAGAUUCAGCCAGAUUUUUUUGGUCUCCAUUUUACAGAUAAAGAGGAAGGUUCACUGGAUUAUCUGAGGUCGGACUGCUGGGGUGAGAAUUGAACCCCAUCCUGGUUGACGACAGAGUUUACACUCUUAUCAUUCCUCAUGACGUGUGGAUAAUUUUAUUUUUUAAUGCUUAUUGAUUUAUCUUGAGAGAACAAGAGAGAACGUGCACCCGUGUGUACGCGGAUAAGGAGCGGAGAGAGAGGAUCCCAAGCAGCCUCCCCACCAUCAGCACAGAGCCCUACGUGGGGCUCGAUCCCACGAACCGUGAAAUCAUGACCUGAGCUGAAAUCAAAAGUCGGGACGCUUAAUCGACUGAGCCACCCACGCAUCCUUUAUGCGGAUAAUUUUAAGUAAAAAACAAAUAUUAGCCACCCAACC
rnacentral:lncRNA from 1 species